rnacentral:lncRNA from 1 species
GGCUCUGGGUGUGUGUGUGUGUGGGGGGGGUAAUAGCGCGGGGGGUGGGGUUAAGGGGACCCUCAUCCUCCCUUUCCGACAAGUGAGGGUCCUGAGCGCUUCCCAGAAGGAGUCCAGGGAAUGUUGUGGGCUGGGGCACACCCGCCGGGGCAGAAAUUGGAGGACACCACGGACGUCGCCACAAUCCUUUCUAUCCUUCCUUUCAGCUGCCCGGUGUUCUCCACCCCUGCGUUAGCACUCUGUAGUCUGGGGCCGUCCUAGGGCCGUCCCGGGGACGUCCCGGGGCUAGCAACCAAGGGGGCUCUCUCGGAUGCUCUGUGGAUCGCCGCUUCGCCCUUACUUUGGGGACGGUCACACGCGCCCCGCUUCCCCCGGUCGCUUUAGAUCAGGCGUCUGCGCCCUCCCGGGCUCCUCACCCCCACCCCCAGAGUCAAAUGUGGGCCUCUCCUGGAAAUCCUUUGCGAAGGGGACAAACUUUUGAGUGGACGAAAAUCUAUUGGAGCCUGUCCAGAGCAGCCAAGAUGAUGUUGCUGAACAAGUGUAGGCCAAAGCCUGAGGACCACAGUGCUCUGUCUUGACCCUGAUGCCAAAGGGGAUCAGCAGACUGGGAUACCCUGCUCUGGGCUCUGGGUGCUUCACCUCUGUGACCCUGCUUCU